UAGGUUGGUGCAAAAGUAAUUGCAGUUUUUGCCAUUAAAAGUAAUGGACAAACUGCAAUUACUUUUGGACCAACCUAAUAUU
rnacentral:miRNA from 1 species